rnacentral:lncRNA from 1 species
AAUAAAUCUUGCAUUAGGGAGGAGGUUCCAGGUGUUGGGAACUGUGGCUCAACCGCCCUGGAGAUGACAAGACAAAGAGCAAAACAUAUCACACAGUUUGACUAGCCCUGCAGCAAAGUACCUGUGGUGUUUAUCCACCACCUCCAGUCAGUCACUGGCUGGCUGCUCUGGGGAAGUACCGAGCCCCCCAUACCUUCCGACCAUGCUGUGCAUGGGCCAGGCGGCUACAGCAGACAGAAAAAGGCAGGGUCUCAGGUCCUGGCAUUUGGGAGUCAGUGGAUCAACAGGUAUGCAGUGGUGAGUUCCAGAGGAGAUGGUCAUGGAUAGUGUCCACUGCACUGAGGUUUGGCAAUGCUGAAUAGGUUCACUGCCUUAAUGCUGGGAAAAAGACUAAAACUUAAGUCCCUUUCCUUUUAUCCUAAGAGAUACUUUUCCCAUUAAUUCCCAGACUACCCAGCAUAUAACUAAGACUUUAACCUCAAUAUGUCAUGUGAUUGUUAUCUAACUGUCCAAAGAUAAAUUUUUAAUAACAACUAUAAAGUAACAAGGACCAUUUAUAGAGUGCAUUGUGCCAGCCACUGAGCUAAGCAUUUUACCUUUAACCACAACUGUGUGAUGAAAUAGCAUUACUCCCAUAAAACAGGUUGGAAAACCAAAGGUCAGAAACUUUAAAUAAUGACAAAAUCCUUUCAAUCACCUUCCCUAAUAAAAAUCGUUCUUAAUUGCUAUCGUCUACUGAGCAUCUGGUCCACACAGAGAACUAUACCACCCACUUUAUAUACACUUUCCUAUUUAAUGCAAGAUGCAAUACUAGUUUUAUACCCCUUGAGCAGGUGAGAAAAUUGAGAUUCAUAAACACCAGGUAACCUCUUAGCUCAAGGUGACUGAGCUGGAAGUGGGCAGAUGCCAAAUUCAAAUCCAGGUCACUCUGAGUCCAAAACAACUUGCUCUAAACCUUGCUAAACCAUAACAGUGCUACCCCACUGUUCUACUAUAUUUUAAGCCAGAUGUGCUUUGCCUGUCUGACUGAGGCACAUUCAGCAAUAACCCAAAUUAUCAAGCGCUACUACAGGGAUGCUGAGUCCUUAAUAGUUAUAAGGAUAGUUCUUGUCAGAAUCAUUUGCCAGCUGAAUAAAAUAAGGCUUAAAUCACCGAAUAAGUUAAUUAAGUCAUUAAGACUUCUAAAGGUUCAGUUGAGUGAAGAAUGAUUUCUUAAUAUGCUUGACUUGGAUUUGGAGGCUUUGCUGGUUUUUAGGGCUCAGCUGAAUGCUCUUCUGAGCCUCCUGGCAGCAAGUUCUUCCAAGAACAGCCCUGGCUCCAACAGUUCCCCCUGGGACCCCAUGAAUAAUGGACACUGGACAUUAAAAGGCCAGCGUGAGAACAGAAGAUUUCCUGGAAGUCCUGUGUUUUGGUAGAAAAUAUUUUAAGUCUACUUGAGUAUUUUCAUUAAAGGGGCAGGCCCCCUGGUUUCUUAAACAAAACACUUGAAGGAGGUUGUAAUAAAUCUGAUAGGUUUCCUGGUGGCUGAGAAAGGGUUUGUCUUUGAGCCUCUGCUAUAUUAUUCAUAUUUUGAUUGCCUGACUGCUUGUAGUUUGAGAGAGUCUAAUUGGCUUGCACUGUGAACUUGACUCACUGGCUCAUAUGAACAUAUAGUCAUCUCCCUACUUACUAGAAACAAUCUCAUGACGUGUAUUAACUCUCAUACCAUUUUGGCCAAGUCAAGAGAAAAGCAAAAUACAAACUCAAUAGUUCCCUUAUUUCAAGUAUUUUCCCUGCUUGCCUGUGAAUUGACAUUCCUCCUUAUAUUUUUCUCCCCUGUUCUCUUCAGACCUUCGGGUCUCUUCUGAUUGAUUUCCACUGCCAUGUUCCUUCCAGAAUGUGAUACAUUCUGUAGCUUACACAUGGCCCUGAGCAUCACGGCCUUUUUCUAUAAGUCCACUGUUAUUCUCACUUUCUGAAAGCUCCUAGACUGUCUAUGAAAAUUUCACAGUCAGUAAUGACAUAGGUUUCCACAGAACUUGGUAGCAUGGUGCCACAUGCACUCACAAGGAAUACAAAUACAAACAGUCACCUCAAAUAAGACAAGUUUCAGAUCCAUGUCUUAGUAGCUGAGAGCUAGGUUGCAUUUUUAAGCAUUGAUAGAGGUUGGCAUUAGCCAUAUCAACAUUAAUUGAUCAUGUAAAUUCCUAGCAGUAGCAUGUAAGCAUCAGCUUGUAGGCAGGUAGACCUGGAUUUCCAUCUUGGUCUCAUCACUGAAACCAGGCUGUGUGAUCCUGCGCAAGUGCCUCAACAUCUCUGAACCUCAGAUUCUCAUCCAUAUAAUGGGAAAUGAGGAUAUCAACCUCUCUUUGUUUUCUUUGACUACUGAAACAAAUUACCAUAAAUUUGGUAGCAUAAACAACACAAAUGUGUUAUCACACUCUUCUGUGGGAAAGAAAUCCAGCAGAGAUCUCAGUGGGAUAAAAUCUAGGAGUGGACAAGACUCGGUUCCCUUCUGGAGGCUCUAGGGGAGAAGGCUUUUUCUUGUAUCUUCCAUCUUUUAAAAUUUACUGCUGAUGGCCCUCUUUCUCCACCUCCAGAUCCAGCAACAGCAGGUUAAGUUCUUUGCAAGUUGCAUACUCUGACUUCCUCUUGGCCUCUCUUUCACUUUAAAGAAGUUUUGUGAUUAUGUUAGAUCAACCUGGAUAAUCUCCUAACUUUAAAGUCAAUUUAUUAGCAAACUUAAUUCCAUCAGUCACCUUAGUUCCUUUUGACAGAAACAUACACAUAGAUUCCAGGGAUUAGGAUGGGGGCAUGUGCAGGACAGGGUGGGAUGGGUGUUAUUCUACCCCCCAGCUACCACACUGAUCAAGGAUGAAAUGAUACAAUGUAAGCAAAUUUCAUAGCAGAUUUGCCUAGUCAGAGUGCUCGGUAGCUUAUAAUGAUUAAAACGGGUAGUUGUUCCAAGCCAUAGCAUUAACUUUCCUGCGAGAAAAUUACCCAGCCUGUAGCAUUAAUGUGGGGCCGCUGAAAGCUUUUCAGUGCUCAUGUAUUGAGAUACCAGUGUUGACAACGCUCCCAGUCAGGUAGCCAAUGUUUAUCCCAUCCCCUGCUGAAGUGCUCUAGUAAAUUAAAAUGCAUUAUUUACAGAUUGAAUCCUGGAGGUACCAAACAUUCUUUCAGGCCAGAGCACUGAAACAGCUGGAGUUUCAGCUGAGAAACAGCUGAAUAAAUACAAUUCUUGCCUCGAUCUGUGACAGUCCAGUGGGAGAGAUUAUAUACAGACGUGAAAUUACAUUGUGCAGUCCUUGGUUUACUUGUCCUUUACAUCUGUCCCUCUCAAAUAUAAACUCCAUUGAGGGCUGGGACUUGAUCUCCUAGACUGCGCACACCUGUGUCCUCAGCACCUGGAGCAGUGCCUAGAAUAUACUAGGUACUCAAUAAGUAUUUGUUGAACAAAUAUAACAUGGUCCAUUAUACAAGCUACUAUAUGAAAAGUUGUUCAUAAAAUAUGCAAACCAUUAUAAAAUAGGUGAUAUAUCAACUCACUAGAGCGGAAAAAGAAAAUAACUCUCCUUUGAAAAGUUUCCAGUGUGCUUCUAGGGAGCUCACAGUGGGCCCUCAGAAAAGGCUUCCUGCCCUGUGGGGCCUACAAUCCUGGAGCCACAUUGACUCACUGACUUAUGUCACCCGGUUUGCAAAUUGCACCGCCCCCAGAUCACAAGACAGGAAUGGCCUGAAGCCCAUAUGUUAAAAACUAUCCACUGCAUCCACCCUCCCCUCUGUACCCCUGGCCCCCCAGUAGGUAGUAAAUCAGCAAAUUUCAGACACUGAUAAGCCAUGAGGGAUACAAAAAAGAGGAAUGAAAUGAGAGUUCCUGGGGGAGUGAGACAUUGGUAGGGAGGCUGCGGGCUAUCACAAAACGCCCGGUGGAAGCGUACAAGUCAUCUCUCCAUAGUGCAGGCACUCUUAACAAUAAAUAUGCUUUGAAUGUGCCCCAGUCCACAGAGAGCCCUAAACUCAAAAUUUCCCAAAACAAAUCUUACCCUUACCACCUGCUGUUUUCCACUAGAUUCAGCUCUGUUCCAUUCCGUGGUGCUCCAUUUGUUUCUUAAUGCUGGUCUCCACUCAGUUGAUUCACAUGCAUGAAAGGGUCACUAAUGGUUGAUCCAGAUUAUUAGGGGGCCAGUUUUCCAUGACACAUGCAGUUUUUUGACACCAGGUCAGAGGUAUGGUUUAGUGCAAAAGAGGAAAACUUAGAGCCUAGAAGAUGCUUAUCCUGGUCCUAACCUGUUCUCUGCCAUGACUCCUUCCCUCCACCUCAAAUGCACACUGUUGGAUCCAGCAGAGCCUUUGUUUGUAAGAAAACAAAGAGUGAGUGGGCAGUGUGCUUGGUUGGCCUGACCUCAGAGGGGAUUUGGGGUCUCCAGGAGAGUCAACGGGAGGGUUAAGUAUCUUCUAACAAGGGGUUAAAGAAGUCACUAAAAAUCAUUUCUUUUUUCCAGUUUAGAGUUGUUCGUGGGGAACAGAGACUCCUGAAAGCCUCUGAUGUGGGAAAGGGAAGGAAAUGCUGUCAACCGAACCACUGAAGCUGGCAAACAAGCCCUCCCACCAGAUGUGAAAAAUGGCAGCAGUCCUCCAACCAAGGGCUUCCUGGGGCCUGAGUCCUCAUUAGCGCUCAGGAACCACAGCCAGGCCAGGACAAAUGGGGGGCUCCGCAGGUGCCCCCAUGGAGGGUGUGUCUCGCUCCUUCACUGCAUGGUUAUUUGUUUUGGCAACUCAGAGACUUUUAUUUUCUCUUUUUUCUUGCAGAAAGUAAUAUAAUAAGAGGUCUCCACAUUUUGACUCUCCCAGACUGUACCCCCAGAAGCAUUUUCUCAAUUCUUAUGCAUCCUUCCAGAGAUGGUCCGUGAAAAUGUGAAAUCCAUCAAUUUUCAGUGGGGGCAGCAGUGCCCCCAAAGGGGUGAAAACUGUUUCCGCAAGGGCAGACAUAGCUUAUUCUUUAUGUGUAAAGCACAGAUAAUACAGUAAUAAAUAGAUACCCUGUAUACCUGCGAUAUUAAAUUUUCAUGUGGCAGGGGGCAUUAGGAAAAAUUAUCUAAAAAGGUUCCUUAGAGUAGAUGUUAUGAAAAAUAGGUUAAAAAACACAGAUUUAAUUUCAUUUUUUCAUGUACAUCAACGGCAGCACACAGUCCUGGUGCACCCUUUUCUAGAAGGUAGCUUGUGGGAGGGUGGGAUCUUGAUCUUGGGUUUCAAAUUGUGAUUUGAAUCAUGGGAAAUUGACCAAAUUUCUUAAUGUGCCCCUGCCUUAGUUUUCUCAUCUGUAAAAUGGGGUGAUAGUGGUAACUACCUUGUAGGAGUAAUUGUGAUUAUUAGUGAGUUAAUGUAAUAAAGCACUUCAAACAGUGCCUGGCACAUGGCAGAUACUCUGUAGGUGCCAAAUCAUGAUUUCCUACUUAAUUGUGUAUCUCAGAGAUUGUCCUAUAUUCCUUUUAAUGGCUGCAUAGCAUUCCCUUGUAUGCCCAUACCAUGAUUUAUCUAGACCAGGAGUGAGCAAAUGGUAGCCAAAUCCAGUCAGCCUUCUGUUUCUAUAAAUCCAGUUUUACUGGAACACAACUACGGUCAUUUGUUUAUACAUUGUCUCUGGGUACUUUCCCACUAUAACAGAGACCUGGUGAUCCACAAAGCUUAAAACAAGUGUUAUCUGGCCCUUUAUAGAAAAAGUGUGCUAACCCCUGUUUUCAUCAAUUCUUUGCUAAAGGACAUAGACUGUUAGAUCAAUCUUCUGCUACAACAAGUAUCACAGCAAUUAACAUUCUUGGUCAAACAACUUUGAGCACAUGUGCACGAACACCUAAAAGAGAAAUUCAUGGUAGUGGAUUUCUUGGGUCUAUAUAUAUGUAUUCUUAAUUUUCAUAGAUAUUGCCAAUUCCUUCUUUAGAUGUUUUAUUAAUUAUACUCUCACUGGUGUACAAUAUUCCUUUUUACCUCUCCCUAGCUUAAUUAGGAUUCAUAAUGACUGUGGGUGGAUGGAUGGAUGGAUGGAUGGGUGGGUGUGUGGAUAGACAAAUGUAAAAUGCAAGAAUCUAUUCUAACUCAUGCAGCUACAAAGAAAUUAUUCCAAAAUAUGUCCCAGUGUGUUCCUUCCAAAAGUAGCAUAUGUAAAGAUGUACAAAUCAACAAUAAACACAUGAAAACAUUUUCAAUAUCAUUAGCCACCAGGGAAACACAAAACCAACCCACAAUAAGAUACUACUUCACACCCACUCAGUUGGCUAUAAACGAGGAUAGAUAAUAAGCAGUGUUUGUGAGCAUGUGAAGAGUUGGAAUCCUCAGACACUGAUGGCAGAAAUUUAAAACAGUGCAGUUCUAUGGAAAACAAUUUAGUGGUUCCUCAAAAAAAUUAAACAUAGAAUUGCCAUAUGACCCAGCAUUCCACUCCUAGGUGUG